rnacentral:rRNA from 1 species
AUUGAACGCUGGCGGCAUGCCUUACACAUGCAAGUCGAACGGCAGCGGACCUUCGGGUGCCGGCGAGUGGCGAACGGGUGAGUAAUAUAUCGGAACGUACCUUUCAGUGGGGGAUAACGUAGCGAAAGUUACGCUAAUACCGCAUAUUCUGUGAGCAGGAAAGCAGGGGAUCGCAAGACCUUGCGCUGAUUGAGCGGCCGAUAUCAGAUUAGCUAGUUGGUGAGGUAAAGGCUCACCAAGGCGACGAUCUGUAGCGGGUCUGAGAGGAUGAUCCGCCACACUGGAACUGAGACACGGUCCAGACUCCUACGGGAGGCAGCAGUGGGGAGUUUUGGACAAUGGGCGCAAGCCUGAUCCAGCCAUGCCGCGUGAGUGAAGAAGGCCUGGUUGUAAG